UAACAUGGAAUCAGUGAGUGACAGACU
rnacentral:piRNA from 1 species